rnacentral:rRNA from 1 species
GAUGAACGCUGGCGGCGUGCCUAAUACAUGCAAGUCGAGCGAACGGACGAGAAGCUUGCUUCUCUGAUGUUAGCGGCGGACGGGUGAGUAACACGUGGAUAACCUACCUAUAAUACUGGGAUAACUUCGGGAAACCGGAGCUAAUACCGGAUGAUAUUUUGAACCGCAUGGUUCAAGAGUGAAAGACGGUCUUGCUGUCACUUAUAGAUGGAUCCGCGCUGCAUUAGCUAGUUGGUAAGGUAACGGCUUACCAAGGCAACGAUGCAUAGCCGACCUGAGAGGGUGAUCGGCCACACUGGAACUGAGACACGGUCCAGACUCCUACGGGAGGCAGCAGUAGGGAAUCUUCCGCAAUGGGCGAAAGCCUGACGGAGCAACGCCGCGUGAGUGAUGAAGGUCUUCGGAUCGUAAAACUCUGUUAUUAGGGAAGAACAUAUGUGUAAGUAACUGUGCACAUCUUGACGGUACCUAAUCAGAAAGCCACGGCUAACUACGUG